rnacentral:snoRNA from 1 species
CUGCAGCCAAUUCAGCUGACUGGGUUCCUCUCCUCAGGGGGGCCCAGUGUGCAGUGGCUGCAGACAGUAGCUUCCUUGGUAGUGUAUGCAGCCUGUUUCUUGAAUGGGUUUCUCUAAGCGACCUUGGAGACAGGU